AGAGUUUGAUUCUGGCUCAGGAUGAACGCUAGCUACAGGCUUAACACAUGCAAGUCGAGGGGCAGCAUGGUCUUAGCUUGCUAAGGCCGAUGGCGACCGGCGCACGGGUGAGUAACGCGUAUCCAACCUGCCUUACACUCUUGGACAGCCUUCUGAAAGGGAGAUUAAUACAAGAUGUUAUCAUGAGUAAGCAUUUUCACAUGAUUAAAGGUUUACCGGUGUAAGAUGGGGAUGCGUUCCAUUAGAUAGUAGGCGGGGUAACGGCCCACCUAGUCUUCGAUGGAUAGGGGUUCUGAGAGGAAGGUCCCCCACAUUGGAACUGAGACACGGUCCAAACUCCUACGGGAGGCAGCAGUGAGGAAUAUUGGUCAAUGGACGAGAGUCUGAACCAGCCAAGUAGCGUGAAGGAUGAAGGUUCUAUGGAUUGUAAACUUCUUUUAUACGGGAAUAAACGAAUCCACGUGUGGAUUUUUGCAUGUACCGUAUGAAUAAAGAUCGGCUAACUCCGUGCCAGCAGCCGCGGUAAUACGGAGGAUCCGAGCGUUAUCCGGAUUUAUUGGGUUUAAAGGGAGCGUAAAUGGGUUGUUAAGUC
rnacentral:rRNA from 1 species